GGGUAUAUAGCUCAAGUUCUAGAGUGCAUGUUUAGCAUGUAUGAGGUCCUGGAUUCAAUCCCCAGUACCUCCC
rnacentral:tRNA from 1 species